rnacentral:lncRNA from 1 species
ACUGGUGUACUAUUUUCCAGCAGUUGCAGUACCCGGUCGCCUGAUCAAGUUCUUGUCAAUUUGUCGUAAAACUUUUUUUCCUUAUUUUUUCGAAAUUUAAACAUAAUUAUUUGUGCAACAUUUGUAAAAUAUCAGAAAAUAAAACAUUUGUAUUUUGUGUUAUACAUAUGUCUAUUUAUUCUUUUUAAUAUUUUACUUGACUUUUUCUUCUGCAGUUAACGUUAUUAGGAGUGAAAUAUUUCGACAACCUGGCUUGUCAACAUAGUGAGAAUCAAAGGUUCACUGAUCUAUCCUGGUUCCCAAGUAGACUCAUGCCAUUUCUGCCUAAAUUCCUGCGUAUAUUCCUACAUUUUAUGGGUAAUCAUGGUUAACUGUUUUAAUGUAUUCCGCAUCCACCCUGGCAGCUUGGAAAAAGUACACGGGCAAUCAAAACACCACUUUUUGUAAGGUUUCUCUUUACAUUCUUCUAUACAUUUACAGCUCCAAAUGUAAUAAAAAUUCUUGAUAAGCGAAAAAAAAAAAAAAGACACAUAAAAUAAUUUAAAAGAAACUACAUAUAUAUUGGUUACAGUGUAAAUGCUUAAAAUAAUUUCAUUUUAUUGAAAUAAUCGCGAAAUUUGUUGCGGCGCAAUUCUCUUUGUUCGUGGUUUUCUUUUUUCUAUAGCCAUAUGCCUCAAUAGGAGAAAGCUGGCCUUAUAAAAUUGAAAUAAACCAUUUUGUGACGGAACUCCUGCUACUAGAAGAAAUAACCUGCUUACUGUGUGAUGAGUGACGUGUGUGGGUAAAAUUUGUUCACCUUGAGAAUCCUGUUUUUGAGACUACAGCAAGGUCUGUCAUUUCUCGCGCUCCGGUCCACGGGUUGCCGCCAGUUGGCUACUUUGGACCCAAACCCUUUGUCUUGUCCAGGCUCAUGUCUCCCCAUCAUAUUGUGUACAUACAGAUACAACAAAGGAUAUCUAAACAACGGUUCAGGUAAACCCUGGUGUUUUACUUUUGCUACCCUGUGUAUGUGGACACGAUAUGAAUGUUGUCACUUGUAUGUAUUAGAUGGUGAUGGUGACUCGUGUUGAGUGAAUGAUUGAUUUUGACAUCUGUAUUGAAUUGUGUAUAUUUUAUGGUCACUAAUGCGGUAUGGCAACACUGGAUUGUGAAUAUUCUCGAUCGAUAGUACUGUUACUUUAAGGGAAUCGGAACUCGUUUAAGACAGUUUGUAUGGGAAAUAUCAGUGUGAUGCUUCUUAAGUUAGCUUUGUUGCAGAAUAUUCUAGUAAACGUGAUUAUAUAGGAAUUGACAAAUUAAUUUUUUGUAUUUAGUGCAACAAGAAAUUGUAAUUAUCUAAAUAUAGUUUCAAGUGCAAUGUGUUUUCCACUCUUGGGAAGCCACUUGUUUUAGCUGGCUAUUUUUAUUCUAGGGAUGUUUCACCAUGCAAAGUUUAGCCAUUUCCUGGCAAGGGAAACAAAUGUUGAUGACAUAAGGAUAAAUUUUUACUAUUACACUUUGUCAAGCUAUUUAUAGCUCGUGUUACUAUUGAUAUUUUGACUUCUUUCAAUUCCAAAGUCAGAAUUGGAAUAUAGUAAUAUUCGUUACGCGCUUGUCUUGACUAGUUUAUAAAUGAAGAUGAGUUAUUCUGAAUUAUGUGGAAGUUGUUGGCCUUUGUCGAGUGAUAAUUUAAAGCUAAUCAGAAAAGAUUGGUAGCAAAUAUUAAAUAUUUUGCUUGUAUGCGGGGAAUGAAUUCAUUUUGCUUUCAUUUCUCGAAACCCUUUGUAUUUAGAAUGUUUAUAUUUUAACUUUUGAAAUUAUAUAAUUAGCAUUGUUAAUGUAUUUCAAUGAAAGCUUGCUAAGUUUAUUCUGCAAUUGAGUCAUGUAAUAUUCUUAGAACUAAAACAAGGUAUAUUAUCGUGAAUGAGUGAUUGUGCCCGAAAUUGUCUUAGAUGUAAGUUUAUUAGCUUCAGGCUAUUGAUGUUGUAAAUAUUGUUUGUUGAUAAAAGUAUUGGAAUUUGUACCAAUAUUUGUCUUUUUCUCCCCCCAACACGAUUUUACCUGGAUGAAAAUGGGGCUGAGAUGCUGGCAAGACGAAGUCAGCUUCUUUGGCAAAAAAAACUAGAAGAAUUAUAGAAAGGCUAUUCUGUGACAGGGUAGACAAAAAGCCAUCAAAUAUUGGGGAGCUGUUAAAUCUUAUUCAACCAAGCUACACAUAACGAUUGCCUGGGCCAUGGUUUUUUGGUUAAGGUCUGCUGUCCAAUAUUAGAAGCUUACAAGGCAAUUUGCAUACUUGUCCAAGACACUUGGGACAACUGCAGUGGCAGGAAUGUUGUGUUGGAUGAGUGCUUCAUGAAACAUGGCUUUUGAAUAUUCAAAGGAAAGGGUUUCUGUAAAUUUUAACAAGUUUCAUCACAUUUUCUAAAUGAAAUGAGUUGUAAUUUAUUGAGCAUCAUAACCAAAACUGGAACUGGAAAUAGACAAGGCAAACAUGAAUUUACAUUUACAAAAAGACAAUCUCACAUGAACUAUUUUAACUGCAUACAACAAAACAACUUUGUGGAUGACAUACAGCAGUAAUGGUUAUAUAGUAUGGAAUAUACAAAUGUGCUGAAAGAUUAGGGUGAAAUCGAGCUUCAUGGUUACGUGAAUAGGGAAAAAAAAAUAGGUUCUUAUGAAACAUCACAUCUUUAAAUAGUGAACCAAACAAAGUGAAUGUCAAUUUGAUAAACUUGGAAGGCAAAUAUUCUCAUCUUGCGAUGUUCUCCAGAAUGAAGUGUCUCAUUUGAGAUGAGUUGUUAUUGCUGCAAUACAGAUAGAAAGAAUUUUGAAAUGGAUGACAGCAGAAAAAAGUCCUACAGUAUGAUGUAUAUUAUCCUGAAACUCUCCAACAAAUUCUUCAGGUAUGAUAGGUUAAUUCACGGGUUGGAGAGAUUGCUUUUUUUAUUUUAUUACAGAUUUUUCUUUCAUUGUAUUGCAAUAACAAUUUCCAGAAGAAAAUAGGAUGAAUAUGUAAUAAGAUAAAUUUAUCAUGGCUGCAAAAUUAAUUUUGAUCUUGAUAAUAACUAAAAAAAAAACAAGUGUUAAAUUUUGUUUCCAAAUGAUAGACCUUUCGUAUGUAGAACUUCAGGUUCCAUUGCCAUUUAAAAUGUUGGGGGUUUUUUCCCUCCUGUAUUCUAUUUAAAAUAUAAUUACAAGUAAUAUAGAAGAUAAAUUUAAAAUUCUUUGACAAAUUUGUUCCUAGGGAGGGGGUGAAAAGUUCUAUAUUGCUAGGUGGUUUCCACCUAGCAUAUUUUUUUUCAUUUACAGAUACUGUUAUAAUUGAUGAAAUGAAUAUUCUGUAAUUGACGACAAUUUUCAUCAGCCCUUAAAAUAUUUGAAUAGGAUGAGGUAAUAUUUGUGCAAGCAUCUCUGUUAGAAUGCAGAGAAAACAGUGUCACCCACUCAUUCUGAUUUGGGAAGGGAAGAACAAAAUGUCUUCAGGUAUGUGAGAGCACUUGGCAUUAAUUGUUGUAAAGGAGAAAAUAGGAAAGAAAAUUGCAAUGUAGCACUGAAAAGUUGCAGCACCAGAUGUUUUUCCUUCCCUUUCAGGUAUUUGGUAUUUUCUUUUAAAAGGUGAUGACAACACUAAUAGUGAAUAUACAUGCAUCAUUGAUAGUUUGCAGCAGGUUAGGAGCAAAUGUAUCAAAGAAUAUGAUUGCAAGGUAAAAGGAAAUUUUUUAUAUAUAUUUACAAGAUCCAAGUCAUCUCUAACAGUUAUUGACGAUAACAGAAAAUGCAUCAUUUAUGAUAUUAACUACACUGGAAAAAAAAUUUAAUAUAUAGUAGGCAAAUGAACAACUACAGAAAUUUUUUUAAUCUUUUAUGGUUUUGUACAGUGCAAUAUCUGUUUGGAAUCAGAAGCAUGACUUCUGCAAUUUCAAAUAUAUUGUCCAGUUGGAAUUUUGUAUUAAGUGGAGACUUGUGAAAUAGAGGGUUUGGUAUGAGUAUAAGAUCAACUUGGUAUAUGAACAUGUGGAAUAUGGUUCUUUUAUUUUCAGGUACAUAAACACAUCUAUACAUGACACAGCAUCUACAAAUGAUCUAAUAUGGCGUUAACUCCUAUUCAGAUGAAUCUUCAUGAUUCACUACAGUUAGCUGACAUGACAGACCAAAAAGAAACUGUUCCUGUUUUGCAGUAACAUCUUUACAGAAAUUUGCAUAAUUGAGUAUUUUAUUAUCUUGGUUGUAAAACAAUGUCUUAACACAUUAGAAAACUUGAGCAUAUUCUGAGAGAAUCUUUAAUGAAUUGACAGCUUGAAAUGUACAAAAGAAUCAUCUUUAAAAACCUGGUGAUAGAGGGCCAUGAUUAAUAUAUGUGAAAUUAACACUUAAAAUCUGUGAUUUAUGGUUGGUAUCACUACUAUAUGUUUCACUUGUAGCUUCCUAAUCUAACGAUUACUAUGAGCUGUGAUCAACUAACACCUUCAAGCAACAGGUGGAGGUGUAAUCUUUCAUUUUCAGGUAUAUUGAGUGGCAAAUUCAUUUUCACUGUUUAAAACGAGUUUUUUUGUAAGCGUUGUGAUUGCAUAUGAACUGCAUUUUUUUUUUAAACCUUAGAUUAUCUAAGGAAACUGCUGCAUUUUUUUUUAAACCUUAGAUUAUCUAAGGAAACUGCUGCAUUUUUUUUUAACCUUAGAUUAUCUAAGGAAACUACAUUCGUGGAUAAGAACUUCUCUGUUAAUGAAUACCUAUUACAAAAAUUACAGCAUGAUUUACGAAAUAAAGGAAUGGGUGUAACAGUAUCAGCAUUAUGAUGCACCUGCUCUGAGA